AAUAGCGGCCUCGUUUGACGUUAGCUGCAGAAGAAGCACCGGCUAACUCCGUGCCAGCAGCCGCGGUAAUACAGAGAGGGCUAGCGUUGUUCGGAAUGACUGGGCGUAAAGGGUGCGUAGGCGGUCUUUUAAGUGAGGUGUUAAAUCCCGGGCUUAACCCGGGUUCUGCGCUUCAAACUGGAAGACUCGAGUGUGGUAGAGGAAAGUGGAAUUCCUAGUGUAGAGGUGAAAAUUCGUAGAUAUUAGGAGGAACACCAGAGGCGAAGGCGGCUUUCUGGACCAUCACUGACGCUGAGGCACGAAAGCGUGGGGAGCAAACAGGAUUAGAUACCCUGGUAG
rnacentral:rRNA from 1 species